GAUGAACGCUGGCGGCGUGCUUAACACAUGCAAGUCGAACGAAGCUGUUAAAAGGAAGUCUUCGGAUAGAAUUUUAACAGACUUAGUGGCGGACGGGUGAGUAACGCGUGGAUAACCUGCCUUAUACAGGGGGAUAACGGAGAGAAAUUUCCGCUAAGACCGCAUAAGACCACAGCACCGCAUGGUGCGGGGGUAAAAUAUUAAUAGGUAUAAGAUGGAUCCGCGUCCGAUUAGCUAGUUGGUGAGGUAGAGGCUCACCAAGGCGACGAUCGGUAGCCGGCCUGAGAGGGUGAACGGCCACAUUGGGACUGAGACACGGCCCAAACUCCUACGGGAGGCAGCAGUGGGGAAUAUUGGACAAUGGGGGAAACCCUGAUCCAGCGACGCCGCGUGAGUGAAGAAGUAUUUCGGUAUGUAAAGCUCUAUCAGCAGGGAAGAAAAUGACGGACCUGAUAAGAGCCCCGG
rnacentral:rRNA from 1 species